AGGACACACACAUACAUGACGCAACUCUUUGAGACAAGGAAGAAGUGGGCUAAGCCAUAUUUGAAGGGUGUUUUCUGUGCAAAGAUGAACAGUACCCAAAAGAGUGAAAGUGUGAACCAUAUGCUUAUGAACUAUGUGCCACCCGGCUCUCCGAUGUAUACAUUUUUUAGGCAGUACAUGAGGUUGCAGUUUGAGCGCCAAUCGAAUGAGACUUAUGAAGUGAAGAGAACUAAAACCACAAGUGUCAUUUGA
rnacentral:rRNA from 1 species